UACGAAGGGGGCUAGCGUUGCUCGGAAUCACUGGGCGUAAAGCGCACGUAGGCGGAUCUUUAAGUCAGGGGUGAAAUCCUGGAGCUCAACUCCAGAACUGCCCUUGAUACUGGGGAUCUUGAGUCCGGAAGAGGUGAGUGGAACUCCGAGUGUAGAGGUGAAAUUCGUAGAUAUUCGGAAGAACACCAGUGGCGAAGGCGGCUCACUGGCUCGGUACUGACGCUGAGGUGCGAAAGCGUGGGGAGCAAACAGG
rnacentral:rRNA from 1 species